rnacentral:rRNA from 1 species
CCUACGGGAGGCAGCAGUAGGGAAUCUUCCACAAUGGGCGAAAGCCUGAUGGAGCAACGCCGCGUGGGUGAAGAAGGUCUUCGGAUCGUAAAAUCCUGUUGGCGGGGAAGAAAGUGCGUGAGAGUAACUGUUCACGUUUCGACGGUACCUAACCAGAAAGCCACGGCUAACUACGUGCCAGCAGCCGCGGUAAUACGGAGGUGGCAAGCGUUAUCCGGAAUUAUUGGGCGUAAAGGGAACGCAGGCGGUCUUUUAAGUCUGAUGUGAAAGCCUCGGGCUUAACCGGGGUAGUGCAUUGGAGACUGGGAGACUUGAGUGCAGUAGAGGGGGGUAGAACUCCAUGUGUAGCGGUGAAAUGCGUAGAGAUAUGGAGGAACACCAGUGGCGAAGGCGGCUCUCUGGUCGGAGACUGACGCUCAGGUGCGAAAGCGUGGGUAGCAAACAGGAUUAGAUACCCGGGUAGUC